UGGGGAAUAUUGGACAAUGGGCGGAAGCCUGAUCCAGCCAUGCCGCGUGUGUGAAGAAGGCCUUAUGGUUGUAAAGCACUUUAAGCGGGGAGGAGGCUCUUGAGGAUAAUACCCUUGAUGAGUGGACGUUACCCGCAGAAUAAGCACCGGCUAACUCUGUGCCAGCAGCCGCGGUAAUACAGAGGGUGCGAGCGUUAAUCGGAUUUACUGGGCGUAAAGCGUGCGUAGGCGGCUGAAUAAGUCGGAUGUGAAAUCCCCGAGCUUAACUUGGGAAUUGCAUACGAUACUGUUUAGCUAGAGUAUGGGAGAGGAUGGUAGAAUUCCAGGUGUAGCGGUGAAAUGCGUAGAGAUCUGGAGGAAUACCGAUGGCGAAGGCAGCCAUCUGGCCUAAUACUGACGCUGAGGUACGAAAGCAUGGGGAGCAAACA
rnacentral:rRNA from 1 species